rnacentral:rRNA from 1 species
GACGAACGCUGGCGGCGUGCCUAAUACAUGCAAGUUGAGCGCUGAAGGUUGGUACUUGUACCGACUGGAUGAGCAGCGAACGGGUGAGUAACGCGUGGGGAAUCUGCCUUUGAGCGGGGGACAACAUUUGGAAACGAAUGCUAAUACCGCAUAAAAACUUUAAACACAAGUUUUAAGUUUGAAAGAUGCAAUUGCAUCACUCAAAGAUGAUCCCGCGUUGUAUUAGCUAGUUGGUGAGGUAAAGGCUCACCAAGGCGAUGAUACAUAGCCGACCUGAGAGGGUGAUCGGCCACAUUGGGACUGAGACACGGCCCAAACUCCUACGGGAGGCAGCAGUAGGGAAUCUUCGGCAAUGGACGAAAGUCUGACCGAGCAACGCCGCGUGAGUGAAGAAGGUUGUCGGAUCGUAAAACUCUGUUGGUAGAGAAGAACGUUGGUGAGAGUGGAAAGCUCAUCAAGUGACGGUAACUACCCAGAAAGGGACGACUAACUACGUG